rnacentral:rRNA from 1 species
UACGGAGGGUGCAAGCGUUACUCGGAAUCACUGGGCGUAAAGAGCGUGUAGGCGGGUUAAUAAGUUGGAAGUGAAAUCCUAUGGCUCAACCAUAGAACUGCUUUCAAAACUGUUAACCUAGAAUAUGGGAGAGGUAGAUGGAAUUUCUGGUGUAGGGGUAAAAUCCGUAGAGAUCAGAAGGAAUACCGAUUGCGAAGGCG